UACGUAGGGGGCUAGCGUUGCUCGGAAUCACUGGGCGUAAGCGCACGUAGGCGGCUUUCUAAGUCAGGGGUGAAAUCCUGGAGCUCAACUCCAGAACUGCCUUUGAUACUGGGAGCUCGAGUCCGGGAGAGGUGAGUGGAACUCCGAGUGUAGAGGUGAAAUUCGUAGAUAUUCGGAAGAACACCAGUGGCGAAGGCGGCUCACUGGCCCGGUACUGACGCUGAGGUGGCGAAAG
rnacentral:rRNA from 1 species